GAUGAGGUGGCCGAGUGGUUAAGGCGAUGGACUGCUAAUCCAUUGUGCUAUGGGUUCGAAUCCCAUCCUCAUCG